AACAUGACCCACAAUAUGCCAUUUUUGGCCUACCAAAUUUGGAAAAAUUAAAGAACACUUUAGAAUAAAUCUAAGAUUAUAUUUUUUAUCCAUAACAUGAGCCAAGUUGUAUUGCGCAAUCGUUUCCUCACACCGGAUGUUUAAAGCACUCAAGUAAAUGCCCAAACCUACCGCAGUUUCACGUUUUCCGGGAAAAUCGCAUAAAUUUGCCAACUUCAGUCUAUAAAUUCACAUGGGCCGCAUUACUCACGACUCAAUUUUGUAAACUAAAAUUAAAAUGCAAAGUUAAAUUAACACUUUCCAUUAAAAAAAUUAACUCGUAAUCAAUGCGGCCAUGUCGAAAAAAAAAAAAUAAUAAUAACAAAAGUGUCGUCUGGAAACGUCAGAUUCCAAGGCAGUCAAUACAUACAUCUAACGCAGUUGAUACGACUCAAAAAGAAACAGCAAAGAGAUAUGCCAAGGAGUGAAGUCCCAAAUUCUUUCUCUGUUUCAAUUGUCCAUGGAGAGUAAAACCAAAACACAGAUCCAGGAUUUCAAAGAACUAUAGGACAGUGAUCACCACUCUGAUAGGGAGGGCACCAUCUGAUCAUGAUUUUCUGUGCAAUAGAUGCCAGAGUGUGUGUGUGUUGCUCCCAUAUUAAACAGAAGAAUAUCAACUCGGUUAGGCCACAGAUUCAAGACAGUCCAGCACCACCACCAGCAGCAGCAAUUCUUCCAAUUAGUCCCCCUUCUGUAUCACUCCCAUUCCCAUGUACAUCAAGAGGGCACACUUCAUGCUGUAUCUGCGAGUGACCAGGUCCAAAGUUAGUUGUAGUCCCAGUAGGAGUAAGGCAUGAAAUCAUCAUUUCAAAAGAGGCCAUCAUUCCUGCCGGGGCUCGCUUCUGUACAAAUCACCUACAAUAAGACAUAGAAGAACUUGAACCUAUUGCUGACAACACCAUGUUCAACAAAACAGGAGUGACAUAAUUAAUCAAUCCAGUUUUUGAGAGCUGAAGUUUUGAGAAAAGAGAAAAUAAGGUUGGAUUUUGACAACAGUGAAAGUCUAACAGUGAGCAUCAGAAUCUCAUGGGAACCCCUAAAGCUGCUUUUGAGGACUUGCUGACAUAUGUAAACCUGUAGAAUAUGGAAACUUGUGCUAGAUAAAAGCUUUAUAACCAUUUUACCAGUGAUGUAUUUGUUGACAAUAAAAAGGGUAUUUGAUUUUA